rnacentral:lncRNA from 1 species
CGCGCACUCGCCCCUCCCCCCGUCCCCACCCUCCUCCUGGAGAACAGAGAAAAGAAGAUGACCAUCUUCUCCUGAACAAAAUUAUGAACUGUCAGAGGUUUCAAAGGUAAUAAGUUUUAUGAUGCAAGUGGAAGAAGAACCAGAAGUAAUGAUGAGCUAGAACUUAUCAGAGAUUUCCUUGAAAUCAGGACUUGGUGUUUAUAAGAUGGGUCUGUCCCAGGCUUAUGCAUGACAGCUGGUGAGCAGUUAGUUGCAUGCAGAGGACAUUGCUCAUUUUGGGCCUAUCUACACUCAAAACCAGGAAAAUAUGCUGUGAAAAUUUGCUAUUACUAACGUCU